rnacentral:rRNA from 1 species
AACAUUAUUGAAGGCGGGCUGGAACCUCUCGGGGUUACAGCCUUGCUGAAUUAUUCACCCUUGUCUUUUGCGUACUUCUUGUUUCCUUGGUGGGUUCGCCCACCACUAGGACAAACAUAAACCUUUUGUAAUUGCAAUCAGCGUCAGUAACAAAUUAAUAAUUACAACUUUCAACAACGGAUCUCUUGGUUCUGGCAUCGAUGAAGAACGCAGCGAAAUGCGAUAAGUAGUGUGAAUUGCAGAAUUCAGUGAAUCAUCGAAUCUUUGAACGCACAUUGCGCCCUUUGGUAUUCCAAUGGGCAUGCCUGUUCGAGCGUCAUUUGUACCCUCAAGCUUUGCUUGGUGUUGGGCGUCUUGUCUCUAGCUUUGCUGGAGACUCGCCUUAAAGUAAUUGGCAGCCGGCCUACUGGUUUCGGAGCGCAGCACAAGUCGCACUCUCUAUCAGCAAAGGUCUAGCAUCCAUUAAGCCUUUUUUUCAACUUUUGACCUCGGAUCAGGUAGGGAUACCCGCUGAACUUAAGCAUAUCAAUAAGCGGA